rnacentral:rRNA from 1 species
AGCGAACGCUGGCGGCAGGUCCUAACACAUGCAAGUCGAGCGCCCCAGGCAAUGGGAGCGGCAGACGGGAUAGUAACACGUGGGAACGUACCCUUUCAGUUCGGGAACAACCCAGGGAAACUUGGGCUAAUACCCGAAUACGUCCGUAAGGAGAAAGAUUUAUCGCUGAAAGAUCGGCCCGCGUCUGAUUAGCUAGGUUGGUGAGGUAAUGGCUCACCAAGGCGAACGAUCAGUAGCGGUCUGAGAGGAUGAUCAGCAUCACUGGGACUGAGACACGG